AUUGAACGCUGGCGGCAGGCUUAACACAUGCAAGUCGAGCGGGGUGAUGGUGCUUGCACUAUCACUUAGCGGCGGACGGGUGAGUAAUGCUUAGGAAUCUGCCUAUUAGUGGGGGACAACAUCUCGAAAGGGAUGCUAAUACCGCAUACGUCCCACGGGAGAAAGCAGGGGAUGCAUUGUGACCUUGGGCUAAUAGAUGAGCCUAAGUCGGAGUAGCUAGUUGGUGGGGUAAAGGCCUACCAAGGCGACGAUCUGUAGCGGGUCUGAGAGGAUGAUCCGCCACACUGGGACGGAGACACGGCCCAGACUCCUACGGGAGGCAGCAGUGGGGAAUAUUGGACAAUGGGGGGAACCCUGAUCCAGCCAUGCCGCGUGUGUGAAGAAGGCCUUAUGGUUGUAAAGCACUUUAAGCGAGGAGGAGGCUCUUCUGGUUAAUACCCAAGAUGAGUGGACGUUACUCGCAGAAUAAGCACCGGCUAACUCUGUGCCAGCCGCCGCGGUAA
rnacentral:rRNA from 1 species